rnacentral:rRNA from 1 species
GACGAACGCUGGCGGCAUGCUUAACACAUGCAAGUGGAGCGACGAACCUUUUUGGGGCAAAGCCGCGUACGGGUGAGUAACACGUGGGCAAUCUGCCCCGAUGACUGGAAUAACUCGAGGAAACUCGUGCUGAUACCGGAUGUGCCAUUCCCUCACAAGAGGGCCUGGUAAAGGGAGCUUCGGCUAUCCGCAUCGGGAGGAGCCUGCGGCGCAUUAGCUAGUUGGUGGGGUAAAGGCCUACCAAGGCGACGAUGCGUAGCUGGUCUGAGAGGACGAUCAGCCACACUGGAACUGAGACACGGUCCAGACUCCUACGGGAGGCAGCAGUGGGGAAUCUUGCACAAUGGGCGACAGCCUGAUGCAGCAAUGCCGCGUGAGGGAAGACGGCCUUAGGGUUGUAAAGCUCUUUCACCCACGACGAUGAUGACGGUAGUGGGAGAAGAAGCCCCGGCUAACUUCGUGCCAGCCGCCGCAGUAA